CUUUACUGUAUUCAGGGUUUGCUUGAGAAGAUGCCUUUGAGGCAAUGGGGGCAUAGAUGGGCUGGCCAUGGAGCCACGGUACCAUUGCUU